GCGGACUUGGUGUAAGACUGGUAAGACAUCUGAUUUCCAAUCAGAAGAUUUGGGUUCAAAUCCUGAAGUCCGCA
rnacentral:tRNA from 1 species